UACGAGAGGCCCAAACGUUAUUCGGAUUUACUGGGCUUAAAGAGUUCGUAGGCGGCGCGGAAAGUAGGGUGUGAAAGCCCUCGGCUCAACCGAGGAAUUGCGCUCUAAACUGUCGCGCUCGAGGAACCUAGAGGUGAGCAGAACUGAUGGUGGAGCGGUGAAAUGCGUUGAUAUCAUCAGGAAUACCGGAGGCGAAGGCGGCUCACUGGGGGUUAUCUGACGCUGAGGAGCGAAAGCCAGGGGAGCAAACGGG
rnacentral:rRNA from 1 species